rnacentral:rRNA from 1 species
UACAGGGGGUGCAAACGUUGCUCGGAAUUAUUGGGCGUAAAGCGCACGUAGGCGGUCUGUUAUGUCGGAUGUGAAAGCCCUUGGCUCAACUGAGGAAGUGCAUCCGAAACUGGCAGGCUAGAGUACGUAAGAGGGUCGCGGAAUUCCCGGUGUAGAGGUGAAAUUCGUAGAUAUCGGGAGGAACACCGGUGGCGAAGGCGGCGACCUGGGACGAUACUGACGCUGAGGUGCGAAAGCCAGGGGAGCAAACGGG